rnacentral:rRNA from 1 species
AUUGAACGCUGGCGGCAGGCCUAACACAUGCAAGUCGAACGAGCGGCGGACGGGUGAGUAAUGUCUGGGAAACUGCCCGAUGGAGGGGGAUACCUACUGGAAACGGUAGCUAAUACCGCAUACCAUCGGAUGUGCCCAUAUGGGAUUAGCUAGUAGGUGGGGUAACGGCUCACCUAGGCGACGAUCCCUAGCUGGUCUGAGAGGAUGACCAGCAACACUGGAACUGAGACACGGUCCAGACUCCUACGGGAGGCAGCAGUGGGGAAUAUUGCACAAUGGGCGCAAGCCUGAUGCAGCCAUGCCGCGUGGAUGAAGAAGGCCUUAGGGUUGUAAAGUACUUUCAGCGAGGAGGCGUUACUCGCAGAAGAAGCACCGGCUAACUCCGUGCCAGCAGCCGCGGUAAUUC